CACGUAGGGUCCGAGCGUUGUCCGGAAUUACUGGGCGUAAAGCGUGCGCAGGCGGUUGGGUCAGUCGCUGGUGAAAGCCCCACGCUCAACGUGGGAAUGGCCAACGAGACGGCCCGACUGGAGGCAGGGAGAGGCCGGUGGAAUUCCGGGUGUAGUGGUGAAAUGCGUAGAGAUCGGGAAGAACAUCGGUGGCGAAGGCGCUCUACUGGACCACAACUGACACUCAGGGACGAAAGCUAGGGGAGCGAAUGGG
rnacentral:rRNA from 1 species